AUGGCAUAUUUUCUUGAAAUAUUCUGUGAUCGAGCAUCGGUUGACAUGCCUUUAGUAGCAGUAGCACCCAUUGGAUAGUUUUCUAUUUAUAAACUGAGAAGGUUUCUUUUACUUGAGAACUGAAGGAAUUAUUUACCCGAUGCAAAGGGAGUUUUCUAUGUACAUAUUGAUUUAUCUACAUGUAUAUGAGAUACACGUUUAUGGAUCAUACUUGAUCCAUAUGAACUGAGAAGCUUUCUUUUCUUCUUAGACAUAUAUCUAUACAUUGAUAUGUCAUCUCCUUUUUCUUAUUAUUUAACAUAAUGUUUUGCUAGCAGUUAAAAUAAUUCUAAACAAUCUGGAAUCAUAAUAGACAUAUAUUAUUUUGCUGAAGAGUUCAGUCCAUGCAUGUUUUUGCCAUCUAAUUUUAUGUUCUGGGCCAUAUGGAAGUGAUGCUUUUAAGUUCUAUAAUGAUUAUAAAAGCACAUUGCUCUGCUAUUUUGUUAUAUUAGAUGUUAUCCUGCUUUUGCUGAAUCAGAUAGAGGCUUUAAGCAUAUCCAAUUUAAAUAAUGACAGUCUUUUAUACUUGCUGUUGCCUUUGACUGUCUCCUUGUUGUAUGAUUAAUCAUGUUUGCUUAGUUAAAUGGCUUGCUAGGUUCAGCUGGUUCCACUAGCAGUUGUCUCCGAGCACUUGCACUGGUCAGCUGAUAUACGUCACGCCCCCUCUCUGGUUUUACUGGACUGCUGCAAAAAUAUGAUCAGUGUGACUCUACAAUUUUUAUAAUCAAAGGAAGUAGUCACAGAUGUAAACACUGAUAUAGGGUUUGUAGAUGCUUACAUAUAGUAGUAAAUAAGUAGUAAUAUUUUGAUCUAGACAGUGAUGAUUUAAACUCUGUUUUUUAUAUGACCUUCAUAUAGUUAAUAGCUUUGUUGUCACUAUUGCUGCUGCAUGAUUUGUUCAGAGAGGGUUGCCAAUUUUUGCUUUCUUUUUCAUGCAGAUUGGUCCACAAUUACCUGAUUCUCGUCCUUCUGGUCAAACCCCUGGUAGGCGCCUCCUUCGAUGUGUGCGUGCACGUCAUCUAUUAGCAGCCUUGCGCGUCUUCUUCCACGGAUCUUCAGGGUCAGUUGCUCCUAUCUGGACGAGCUUUGUCAGGGUCAUGUGGUUGCUGCUGCUACCUCUUUGUCGGGGUCAAGGGUCAAUAAAACUCAGUCUUUUUUGCCUUUCUCUGACAGGUCAAUUGAUGUUGGGCACCAAUCUUGCUCCUAUUUGGGUGGGCUACAGCUUUGUCAGGCUGCCAUCAUAUUCUGAUCUUCCAGUGUUCCUUCUGUGGUGUGGAGGAGAUCCCCAAACCGGAACCCUGGCUCCUCUCUCUGCUCGGCACCGCCUACACCAGCGGCUUCGACAGUCAAUCCUCAGCGCCUGUCGCAACAAAGCUCGGGAAGGAGUGUGAUUGUACUGUGCUAGCAGAGUAAAAUACUGGAACGCUCUGACUGCUCCUGGACUUCCAAGGUGAUGCUGGGAGAUUCGUUCUGCCACUUUGCCUAUACUCCGCCUGAUCACCGUUCAUCCAGAGAAAAGGAGAGGAAGGGGAUGGAUGAGCAAGGACCAGAAGGACCAGAAGAAGAAGGGAAAGGGAGAUGGGGCGAUGUGCAUGUCCAUGGAGGGGAAAAUUCUAAUUUCUUUACAGCGGUGUUUGAAAAAAAUGGCAUAUUCCGUGGGCUGGAUGAUAGAAGGACAUUUUGUUGAAGCACUCAAGAGGAGUAAUACUAUUGUGAUGCCAACACAUGCUGAAUAAACUUUAUGUUUUGUAAUCCUCUAAAUCCUGCACCGUGUUGGUUUGUUUCUAAUCUAAACAUGUCUUUUGGCUUGCUCUAGAUUUAGCCCGAACCUUAAUUCUUUGUUUGGUCUGAAUCUUGCCUGAACCACUUCCUGCAGCUCCUGAAUUUAGCUAUGAAUUAUGUCAUAAUUUUCCUAUGACUUA